GGGCUUGUGGCUCAGUGGCAGAGCACUUGCUGGGCAUGCAAGAAGCCCUGGGUUCAAUCCCCAGGACUCUCC
rnacentral:tRNA from 1 species